rnacentral:rRNA from 1 species
UACGGAGGAUGCGAGCGUUAUCCGGAUUUAUUGGGUUUAAAGGGUGCGCAGGCGGGAGAUUAAGUCGGCGGUGAAAUUUUGCAGCUCAACUGUAAAAGUGCCAUUGAUACUGGUUUCCUUGAGUGUGGAUGAAGUAGGCGGAAUUUGUGGUGUAGCGGUGAAAUGCAUAGAUAUCACGAGGAACUCCGAUUGCGCAGGCAGCUUACUAAACCAUAACUGACGCUUAGGCACGAAGGCGUGGGGAUCAAACAGGAUUAGAUA